UUAACCUUGACUGCUAGCAC
rnacentral:misc_RNA from 1 species